ensembl:lncRNA
UUUUUUUUUUUUUUUUGGUCUUUUGUCUUUUCAGGGCCGCAUCCGUGGCAUGUAGAGGUUCCCAGGCUAGGGGUCUAAUCGGAGCUGCAUCUGCAACCUACACCACAGCUCACGGCAAUGCCAGAUCCUUAACCCACUGAGCAGGGGCCAGGGAUCAAACCUGCAACCUUAUGGUUCCUAGUCAGAUUCGUUUCCACUCAGCCAUGAUGGGAACUCCAGAGGCUUAUUUUUUUAGACCGUUCUUAUAUUAAGCCAAACACAGCAAUGCGAUCAUUACGCCAGCAGGCUUUCCAGCAUUUACGUUUAGAAUCAACUGCAAGGACAUGACAUUUUUUGCUUAAGCCAGUAGAACUGAAUGGGAUGAUGUGUUUAGGCGUCGACACAGGAGGAGAGGUCACAGGACAACAGGCCCCCAGGCCCGGGGCCGAGGGCCACGUCUUUCCCAGGCCUUUCAGUGACUUCCUCCUGUCCUGCCCACUCAGGAGGACCUAGCUCACGAAAAGCAUCUCGGAAGAGUCUGUCCCGUGGCCCCAUCAGGCACCACUGUUUCUCCCCAUUACCCUGCCAUAACCUCUCCCGUGACUUUACACAGUUCCCUGCCUCCAGGAUGGGGCCUUGGGGAGGCUUCCACGAAGCAGUCCCCGCUCUUCCACCCUGCGUCUUCUGGUCUGAAGCAAAAUAGGUCUUAGCCAUUGAAUAUUAAAUGCUUUCUUGCCUCCAAUCUAUUUCCAACCACGUGGAAUGGCAGUGUGAUCGCAAACCAUACGUGUGAAUAAGUCAUGAAAGGGAAAGAGUGGAUUUAAAUAAAAUAUCCCUCAUUAUCAUGCUUAAUUCCUUCUCCUGCUAAGAAGACAGCCAUCUGGAGCAUCACAGCAAGGUGGGUCUUACGAAGCCACGCAAAGCCCAUAGCAUAACAUGGAGCCAGGAAUUUGAAGGCAGGCCCAGAGGAGGCUAAGGAUGCUAUCAGGGAAGAGUGUGACUGUGUGGGUUUAGCUGACAUUUUUAUGCCGAAUUUCACAAGAAUCAUGACUGGUUGACCCAUGUUGAUGAGUGAGGUCCUAGAGAGGUCCUGGUUCUUUGGAAGUUGGUUCCAGAAGUCUCCUUCCCAAAGCAGCGAGGACGUGCGGUCAGUAAGCUUUGCCAGGGCGCCCUCUAGCGUCCAAAGAGCCACAAUGAUGCUAUUCCCCAAUUCCCCUCCCUGUCGAAGAAACCCUAUUAUUACUUUAAUUACAGAUUAAUUACACCCUUUCAUCAAGGUUGGAAGAAUCCAUACAAAGCAUGACGACUAGAGAGUAGAAGACGUGCUUUUUGCUUUUUUCUUCUUAUUGUGACACUGUUUCUUUUCGACAUUCUUCCUGUUUAGUAGUACUAGAGUUGAGAAUGGGGCUCUGGAGUCAGACACUGCAUUCAAAGCAGGGUGCUCUGGCUUUGGGGCUGUCCUUGGGCAAAUUACUACCUUCUCUGUGCCCCAAACCAAUUUCCUAGGGCAGCUGUAACAGUAAAUGCAAAAGACUUUGAAAGUGCCAGAACCUCGUGAUACAUGUCAACUGCCUGGCCCUACUGUCAUUGCUGUUGCUGUUUUAACAAAUCAGAGUUGUGACAUUUGUACCUAAAGUGACUUUGGAGAUGAUUAAGUGCCACCUCCUCCUAUCACAGGUGAGAAAUCUCCGGUUCCAAGGGGCAACGUGACCCGCCCACAGUCACCCAGCCAUUGGACAGCAGAGCUGAAAGGAGAAUUUAUUUAGUCUUCCUAGCAGGACGAGAUCCAACCCCUCCACCCGUGUUGCUCUGAGUGUGCAGAGUGUGGACCUCUGGGGCAGAGCGCCUGAAGGAGGCGGCAGGACCACACAGCCUCCCAGGCAGAGGCCUGGGCACAGGAGCACCCUCAUCCAUGGUCAUCCCUGUCCAUUUCUUAUGAGGAUGGUGUCAGAUUGAUGCAACCUAUAACCCAGCAGGUUAUAGAACAGGAUGAUGGGAACUGCAGUCGACCUAGAAGCACUGGCCUCACACACUCAGGAAGCCGAGGGGGACCACAAACAGUUCCAAUCUAAUGCCUGUAAAGGUGUUCCUAGCCUCCUUGUCUUGAGGUGACCUCUGACUCCAGAGGGCCUUGGACAGACAUGGAGCAAAGAGGCACGUGGUCUACAGAACUGGCUUCCCCCACAGAAAGGCUCUGUUCAGUCGCUUUCAAAGAAGAUACUAUACCCCAAGAGGGCAAAUGUUGUAGGAUUCCACUUAGAGGGGGUCCCUCAAGGACGCCAAUUCACAGAGAUAGAAGGUAGAACAGAGGUUACCGCAGAAGCUGGAGACAGGGGGAUGGGGUGUUGCUGGUUUUAUGCGCGUGGCCAACAUCACCAAGGCAAUAGAGGCCAAUCUGCAGAGAGAUGAGUUCUUACACUCGUACAUCUCAAAAGUUGAUCCUACUGGGCUAAAGAGUAUUUUGUCAUGGAUUAAGACUCAUAACAGGACAAAAACUUAAGGAGGCCACAUGAUGUGAAACUCGCCAAUGAACCUCUGGGAUUUCUUGUUUUAAGUUUUAUUGAAGUGGUAGUUGAUUUACAAGGUUGUGAUGAUUUCCACUGCAAAAUAGUGAUUCAAUCCUACUUGUACGCAUAUCCAUUCUCUUUCAGAUUCUUUUCCCAUAUAGAUCUUCACAGAAUACUAGAGAGAGUUCUCUGUGCUGUACAGCAGGUCCCUGUUGACCAAUCCUUCCCUAUACCUCAGAUGCCAAUCCCAAACCCCCAGACCAUCCCUCCCACCACCCAGUCUCUGGGAUUUCUUAACCUCCUUUUGAUUUUCUGAGAGCACCUCAUACUGACCUAUCAACAAACAGGUAUAAAGACAAUCACUGGUUAACGUGUUUGGUGGUCCUAGGCAAACCUGAAGUAUGGCUAGGAAUGAAUGGUACAGAGAACUCCCUUUCAAAGCCGACACAGACCUGUGGACUCCCAAUAGGAAAUAGCAGCACACAGCAAUACCAGAUGCACACAGCCAGCAUGUUUGUAUGAAAAGAGCUCCAGCACAGAGAUGGGAAGACAGAUUCUCAUCACAACCCAACCACUCACAAGCUGUAGGACCCUGGCCAGAAGCAUGACUUCUUGGGGCCUCAGCUUGCUCCCCUCUACAAUGGACUCACCAGGAGAUUGCUAAAGCCUCUCAGUCAUCAUUCUGGAAUCUGAGCUGAAAACUGAUCUUGAGUCUACCAUAGCCAUGGUGUAAGGUAGUAUCCAUGGGUACAGAACUGAGAAACUUCUAAAAAAGAUUCAACUCUACUAAGGUUACAAUAUCACCAGGCAAAUUUUUUCAGUCACUCCCAUGACAUAAGGAAAUUCCUGGACCAGGGAUCAAACCCAUGCCACAGAAGCAAGCAGUGACAAGUCCAGGUCCUUAACCCACUAAGCCACCAGGGAACUCCUCCACCAAAUUUUUAAAAUUCUAUCUUGCCUUUGAGGAAUAAUCUGCAAAUGCGAGAUGAAAAAUAUAAAGAGAAAGUUGGAGGAACAAGGUAUAAAUCUUCUGUUUAAGAUACUCUUCUUACCACCCGCCCAUUCAUUCUAAACACACGUGCAUGGGGGGGCAGCCCCUAAAACUAAUGUCAUACCCCUUCCUCGGGUUUUCUGAUCACAAUACUGAUUAGCAGAAAAUAGAAGUAACUGAUAAGCCAUAUAAAUGGAAGAUCAAGCCUUUCUUGAAAGUAGAUACAUGGGAGCAUGAUGGGGGAGCAGGAUGAAAACUUUCAAAUUUCUUCCUGCUUUCAUCUUAAGGUUUCCCCGCAGAAACGAGAGUAAUGAAAACUUACAAGUAGCACGCAGUAAGAAGGAUAAGUCAUGCACAUUGUUAAUCUGGUAGAGCUAAACCUCUGUUUAGGCUCAGAUGUUCAUAUACUGCUAGCUGGCUAUACACUGCAAAAGGAUGUAUGAAAAAGAUCUUUGUUAAAAAAUUGGUGUCCACUAUUGGUGGGAAUGUAAACUGGUGCAGCCACUAUGGAGAACAGCAUGGAAGUUCCUCAAAAAGUUACAAGUAGAACUACUAUAUGAUCUAGAAAUCCCACUCCUGGGCAAAGAGCCAGACAAAACUAUGAUCCAUGCAUUCCUAUGUUCACGGCAACUCUGUUUAUAACAGCCAAGACAGAUAUCAAUCUACAGAUGAAUGGAUAAAGAAUAUGUGGUACAUAUAUAAUAAUGGUAUAUUCCUCAGCCGUUAAAAAAAAAAAGAAAUAAUGCCAUUUGCAGGAACAUGGGUAGACCUAGAGAUUCUCAUACUAAGUGAAGUAAGUCAGAAAGGGAAAAGACAAACACCAUACGAUAUCACUUAGAUGUGGCAUCUAAAAUACAGCACACAUGAACCUAUCAACAGACCAGAAACAGAAUCACAGACACAGAGAACAGACUUGUGGUUGCCAGGGGGGGGGAGGGGGAGUAGAGAGAAGGAUUCGUUAGGGGAUUAGCAGACACAAACUAUUAUCUAUUCGAUGAAUAAACAAUAAGGUCCUCCUAGAGAGCACAAGGAACUAUAUUCAAUAUCCUGUGAUAAACCAUCACAGAAAAGAAUAUGAAAAAGAAUACAUCUGUGUACAACGGAACCACUUUGCUAGGCAGCAGAGAUGAACACAACAUUGUAAAUCAACUACGCUUCCAUAAAAUUUCAAAAAAAUAGGAGUUCCCAUUGUGGUGCUGUGGGUUAAGAAGGCAACUGCAGCGGUUAGGGUCACCAUGGAGGUGCGGGUUUGAUCCCUGGCACAGCGCAGUGAGUUAAGGAUCUGGCGUUGCCACAGCUGCGGCGUAGGUUGCAUCUGGAGCUCAGAUUCAAUCCCUGGCCCUGGAACUUCCAUAGGCUGUGGGUGGGGCCAUAAAAAAAUAAAAUAAAUUUUAAAAUAUAUCUGCAGUUUCAGGCAGGGCCUUAUAGUCCUUUUAUAGGAACAGGCGCUAAAACAGAAUUUACCCUGUACAAGAGCAGGGCGGGGGAGUUUCCCUUCAGGGGCUCUGUGAUUUCCCCAAGAAAGGGAAAAACGACAUCCCCCCUUUAGUAUGAGUCCCUCUGGUGGACUCUAUCCAGCUAGUCCUUUCUUUCCCUCCCUAUUACGCCUCAGGGGACUGACACGAGACCAGCUGUUGGCAGGGCCUCCUUUCAUGCUCACAGAGAGUAGAAACAAGGGACUCAUUACCCUACUUUCUUAAAAGUUCAGGACAAAGAAACAAAUGAACUAGGCUAAAGAUGCUGGUGUUGGAAAGAAGUUGUGAUCUGUCUCUUGACAGUUUUAUGACUUUAAUCUACACAACGGGUCUGAAGGAAACCACACCGUCUUAUGAAAGGCAAUCGUUCACAUUUAUCUGAAUUUGACAUGAAACUUUACUGUCGUUAAAAGAACAUUCUAUCACCGAUGUCGAUCAUAACCGAAUUCUUAUUAAGCCCAUAUUUUUGUGGCCAUGAGGCUGGCAGGCCCCAAGGGGACAUUAUGCACUUUGUACCCGCUGCUGCUUGGUGCCGAUCCAGAAGCUAACGAGGGCAUGUUUGUUGUUUAUCAUCCCUUAUCAAAACGGGGUGACCAACUUUAUCAUAUGAAAAUAGAUAAAUUCUUUUGGAGGCAGGCAAAAUGAGUACAAAAACUAGCUCUGUUUUCACUUCCUUGCUGCGACUGUGGGCAGAAGCUUCCAUCUCAGCAAACCAAAACGUAGGCCUCUACGUUCAAGGUGACAAGCAAACUAAAUAAUAUCUGCACAGUCCUCCCAGCCACGCCUGGUGCAGGGGGCAUCUCCAGCAAGUGGCAGUUGCUGCCACCAUCAUUCUGCAUUGCAAGGCAUUUUGAGGUGACCACAUUCCUGAUGUGAAAAUAUGGCCAAACCAAUGCUUUUCCAAAUGUAACAAAGAAGGCCCAAAGCUUCCCAGGUCCCCCGAAAUGGCUUAGAGACAUUCAUUAAAUCUUCUAUAAGAAAAGAAAAGUGAAGACGUUCUUUUUUGGCUGCACCUGUGGCCUGCAGACAUUUCAGGGCCAGGGAUCCGAAACCACCCCAUAGCAGUGACCCUAGCCACAGCAGUGACAGCACCAGAUCCUUAACCCGCUGAGCCACCAGGAAACUCCUUGAAGUUCUUCUGAUUCUGCUUCUAUAACAUGAAAUAAGGGCUGCCUAAAUACUGCUCUUAAGUGAGAAAAUGUUAGAAAGCCACAUACCCCCAAUGCUCUAUCUGAAGAUAAAAAUGACACCCAGACAUCAGAGGGAAAAAAUUCUCCGAGCUUUUUUUAUAAAUAGCCUAUUGAAAG